GAGGAUUUGAUGAUACCUUGAGAAUGCAUCUAAGAAACUGUACAGCUUAUGUCCGGAUGUGCUAUCCACAAGAUUGUCAAUCCUGGGUAGCGGAUAGCUGUCUUUUGGGCACGCCUUAUUGAGAUCUGUGAAGUCGAUGCAGACCCUCCAUUUACCACUGAUUUUCUUCACAAGAACAACAUUAGCGAGCCAAUUAGGGUAUUGGACUUCCCUUAUAAACCCCGCUCUCACCAGUUUGCCGACCUCUUCCUAAAUGACCACACGUCUUCCGACGCAAACUGCUUCUUCCUUUGCUUAACAGGU
rnacentral:lncRNA from 1 species